UACGUAGGGUGCAAGCGUUGUCCGGAAUUAUUGGGCGUAAAGAGCUCGUAGGCGGUUUGUCGCGUCUGCUGUGAAAACGCGGGGCUCAACUCCGCGCCUGCAGUGGGUACGGGCAGACUAGAGUGCAGUAGGGGAGACUGGAAUUCCUGGUGUAGCGGUGGAAUGCGCAGAUAUCAGGAGGAACACCGGUGGCGAAGGCGGGUCUCUGGGCUGUAACUGACGCUGAGGAGCGAAAGCGUGGGGGAGCGAACAGG
rnacentral:rRNA from 1 species